GAUCUUCCGCAAUGGACGAAAGUCUGCCGGAGCACCGCCCCUGGAGGGUUGAAGGUUUUCGGCUCGUAAAACUCUGUUGUUAGGGAGGAACACUUGGGGUAUUACUUGGCCUUGAGAUGACGUUACUUACCCAGAAGCCCCCGCCAACCUACGUGCCGCCAGCCGCGGUAAUACGUAGGUGGCAAGCGUUAUCCGGAAUUAUUGGGCGUAAAGCGCGCGUAGGCGGUAAAAUAAGUCUGAUGUGAAAGCCCCCGGCUCAACCGGGGAGGGUCAUUGGAAACUGUUUUACUUGAGUACAGAAGAGGAGAGUGGAAUUCCAUGUGUAGCGGUGAAAUGCGCAGAGAUAUGGAGGAACACCAGUGGCGAAGGCGGCUCUCUGGUCUGUUACUGACGCUGAGGUGCGAAAGCGUGGGGAUCAAAC
rnacentral:rRNA from 1 species